UACAGAGGGUGCGAGCGUUAAUCGGAAUUACUGGGCGUAAAGCGUGCGUAGACGGUUAUUUAAGUCGGGUGUGAAAGCCCCGGGCUCAACCUGGGAAUUGCAUUCGAGACUGAAUAGCUAGGGUACGGUAGAGGGAAGCGGAAUUCCGGGUGUAGCGGUGAAAUGCGUAGAUAUCCGGAGGAACACCGGUGGCGAAGGCGGCUUCCUGGACCGACACUGACGCUGAGGCGCGAAAGCUAGGGGAGCAAACGGG
rnacentral:rRNA from 1 species